CACGUAGGCACCAAGCGUUGUCCGGAUUUAUUGGGCGUAAAGAGCUCGUAGGCGGUUCGAUAAGUCGGGUGUGAAAACUUUGGGCUUAACCCAAAGCGUGCAUUCGAUACUGUUGUGACUAGAGUUCGGUAGGGGAGUGGGGAAUUCCUGGUGUAGCGGUGAAAUGCGCAGAUAUCAGGAGGAACACCAAUGGCGAAGGCAGCUCGCUGGGACGGUACUGACGCUGAGACGCGAAAGCGUGGGGAGCAAACAGG
rnacentral:rRNA from 1 species